UCUCCCUUUACCGCGGAGGCGAAGAGGAGAAGGUUCGUCGAUGGGACGCACCCGAAUUUAUUCAGGGAGGUGGACCACGCCAAGUGGAAAGCCUUUGAGACAGAGUGGAGAGCACUGCAGCCUGGGGCCAGCCGCAUGAUUGCUGAGAAGACGAUCUCAAAUGCUUACAAGUGGUUCCACGACAUCACCACUUCGGGGGCUUGGCUCGCCGACGAUGUAAGUGAAAUGAAAAUAUUGUUAUUUAUUAUGUAUGUUCAAAAUCAAUUUUUUGAAUGAAAUUCAUAGAUUAACUCCUUUCUUUAUUGGUGUUUCUUGAUGUAGCACAUCGACUUGAGCAUGGAUUUGCUACGAGAUCGUGCUGAAAGACAUCCAAAAUCGUU